rnacentral:misc_RNA from 1 species
CGACGUUGUCGAGCACCUCGGCUCGUCUUUCUCAGCUGCCGUGUGGGCGCGUUGCUCGAAGGCUGGAGUGACGGUUUAGCAACGGGACUGUGCGCUAUUUUCACUGCGGUGCUCGGCUUGGGAGAGGCAACGAGGGGUCGCCGGUACCCUCCAUCGAUCUCGCUGCGCCUUGUCGUGCGCGAGGCCGAGGGAGGAAGAGGGAGAGAGAGGGCUGCACGUGCCUCCGUGCAUGCGGUGUUGGCAUCCCCUGUUUGCAGAAGGGCGCCUCCUCCAUCCACCCCCCACCCCACCAUACACACACACGCACAUUCCCACAUAUAUACACAUACGCGCUUGCACACACAUCUAUCCAUCCAUAUAUAUAUAUAUAUAUACACGUGUGUGUGUGUGUGAGGGCGUGAGUGAUUUUGUACACCUUCACGCCCCCACUCAUCUCCCGUCAUCUCUCGCUCUUGCGAGCACAUACUCCCACGCACGCAGACCCACGCCUACGCGUGCGCAUACAGACGCUCACGGGGGCGUGCCCAACAGCGAAGAAAGAGGGGGUAGAGUUGGGAGGGAGGGAGAAGACUAAGUCUGUACAGUCGACCCCCCCCCCCCCCCCUGCUCAUCACCGUUGCCGCAAGACGCGGUGCGUCUGUGUCUGUGUGUCCUCGGUGCCCCCGAUCGUUGUGAAUAUUCCUUCGAAGGUAUCAUAUCCUUUUACUUUAAGAGCCUGUGCUCCCCUAGACACCCACCGGCUCACAGGCGCCGAUAAACGAAACACUUGCGCGCUUCCUCUGUGGGUGAAUGGGAGGCUGCUGCGGGGUCGCCUCAGAGGCAGGCACGGCCUCGUACAACGACACGGUCUCUUCCACACCAUUUCCACCACCGUCACGUCGCGGAAGGUGGCGGGGCUCAACAAGAAGCACCAGCAAGAACGAAAAAGCAGCGCUUAAGAGGAGUGGUAGGCUCGAGUCCGCGCCGUCGUUCCUGGGCAAGAUACUACCGCUGAAGGAUCGAGGUGACACCGACAGCGCUCCUACCCGCGGCACCGCCGUCGAUGCCGUUCCCUCGGCCGCCCCUUUGAAGCUCAGCGAUUACGCCACUCUCGCCGCCCCCGAACAUGACCAGGACCUGCCUUUCAAAGCCACACCACAGCACGGCGCCAACGGCAGCAGCCCUGACCCGCUCCUGCCUGACCUGUUUUACAUCUCCGCUUCCUCGUCCUCAUCGCUUCUCGCGAACUGCGACGUGGACGAUAGCGCUGAGGACGGCGUUGGCGCCCGUCUUGACGGUGAAGGGCAGAGCUCGCUGGUGGAGGUGAGCCAGCCAACGCAGAGCUUCGCAGGUGAUGUGCACACGUACUCGGAGCUGGACUUGACGAGCGAGUGGGAGCCGCCGUCGUUCGACCGCCUUGGCCGGCGGUCGGAGCGUCUGGGCCGCAACGGAACGGACCGCAGCCGACUGCGUCAGCUGAUCGUCCGCGAGGCCGAGGUGCGCGCGUCCCUGACGGUCAUGUACGUGCAUCAGCAUCAGCGGUUUUCGCUGAACCUCGCCAAGGAGCACUUCAUCGCGGUAUACAUUAGAAUGCGGCAGGAGUACGAGUCGGAGUGGACGGUGCAGUGCAUCUGCUGGAUCGUUGCGGUAGAGAGUGUCAUGCGGGAAGCGCUGGCACGCGAGUGGUGGACGGAGCGAGCCGCUUUAGUACGCCGAGUCGGGUCUCUCAGGAAGCCACCGCCACCACCACUGCGGCCGACGUGCGACGACGCGAGGCUGGGUAUCACAGCCAUUCACGCACUGAAGCGAGAGGACAGCUUGCCUUACGUAUCGAACUUGUACACGGCCGCGGACUUGACCUCCAGCGAGGAGGCAGCGGAGGGCGACCCGCUGAACCUGUGCAUCCCGCCCAUGCGCGCCUCUUCCUCAAUCGCCCUCUUCUCCCCACCGCUGCAGCAGCAGCUCUCGGUGCUUGGCGGAUCGCGAUCUGCCUCUGCAGGAGUGUCUCGCGGCCUUCGCUCGGCUUCUCGAGUUAGCGCACCACAUGCCUCGUCUUUUGUGUCGUCGCCAGCAUCGGCCCUUUACUCGCCUGUGCCGACGAAGCGCGUAGCCGCUGCGCAGCAGGCACAGAAGGGCAGGUUCGUGCGGGGGCGGAGCAUGGCUGUUACCGAGGCGCUCCUGUGAGCUCUAGCAGCGCGUGUCGCUAGGCAGGGGACGGAUGUGUGAUGAAGGUGCUUGCUUCUGCCAUCGAUCGAGCCCCGAUUCAGUUCUUGCGGAAGAUCACCUUCCUCUGCUACACGACCUCUUGUAGCUCUCUUCGGUCGCUCUCGUGCACAGGCUCCCGGUGAGGGGCGAGGAGGAGGAGGAGGAGGAGGGGGGGGCAUGCGGCAUCUCUGCGCCCAUGUGGAGCGGAUGUGCAUUGGUGAAAUGCAUGAUGGCAGUGAUGGUGAAACGUGUACUUGUGCGCCAGCGAGUGCAUCUGUACCUCCGCCCGCGCGCUCUCUGUGGCGCUCAUCGCAUAUCUUCAUGCAUAUACGUACAUAUAUAUAUAUAUAUAUAUAUAUAUGUAUAUGUAUAUUAUAUGCAUGCGCGUCUGUGUGCGUGUGUGUUGUGCAUUCUUUCCAGCUCGCAGUCGCCGGCCGUGUCGAACACCCGCCUUCUUGUUUAUGUUUCAGCCUCUCUGUAUCUAUCGAUAUAAAUAUAUAGAUGUAGAGAUACCUGUGUUUUGCUUGUCUUCCUCCUCGCUUUCUCGCGAUUCGUGUCCGUCUCGAUGCGCUUGCGCGGUGGGCGUGUGGGCGCGCUUUCAUCGUUGAUGGACUCUGCACGCGCCUCGAUGUGCGGACAUUGACUUGUGUACGGCGGCGCCUUUCGCUCUUUUAUUAUUAUUUUUUUUUUGCCUUCUGCGGUUUCUUCCGCUGCUGUUAGCACCGCGCCGCACACGCGCCCUCCCCGCCCCUUGGCUGGCAUGGACGGAAAUGGACGAUGAAGACAGCGAGCCCACCUCACCAGGCAACAAGGCCGUCCUGGAACAGGCCCUAGGAUGCAGAAAAUGUGAGCGCCGUGCGCACGCGCUUUCAAGCGCCGCUGGCAUGGCGUACCGCAUCCACACAAGGCAUCCAGAGGUCAGCAGGGCACGAGCGAUAGCCCAGAAAGGCGCGCAGAGAUGCAUACAAAUCCUCCCCAACGUGCGUGCGACAUGUGCGGCACCUCUUACAUCCGGCCGGGCGAGUCGAUGCGACAUAGGUGCCGAAGGCGUGACGAGAGCACCCCCAAAGGGGGCCCCAUUGAGCCCUCCAGGUCCCCAAUCUGGGGCGUCACCACACCAUAUCCUAAGAUGCCGCAGCUUGAGGUGACUCAGGGCGAAGCAUGGCAUACAGACAGAGUCUGCGGGGUCUCAGGGGGCCCUGACCUGCGGCUGGCCAACCUCGUCCUCGCGCACACCCGGCAUGCGCCUAGACAAACCCCUGUUACCCGAACGACAGACGCCAUCGCCUCCAGCCGUCGAGCAGGACGCUGGACGCGGCGGGCGUGGAUGAAGGCAUGUUGCCCACGCCCAGGUCCGCCUGGAGUCGGUCGCGCAGCACAUUUUCGAGGAAGGGACGAGGAAGAAGGAGAGCCCGUCAGACGUAUGGUCCUCAUUCGACCGGCUGAACGGCUCGUCCCAGAGGACCCGGAUUCAGCCGCCGUGCAACAGAGUGCCAGGUGAGCUGUGGCUGUGCGUGCGUCUGUGUGCUGCCUUGCUCGCGGUAGAAUACGCACAAUGUAGAAAAGCGAAUAUGGUUGUGCUCCCCGUUCUCUCCCGCCCACUCCCGUCGAUGGACGAGGAGGGGUGGGAUGAGGGUGAGCGCCCCAGGGCGCGUCUGUGCACCCCCUGCCCACACAUGCGCACAGGCGCACCGCCGGCGGCCAUGAAUGCAAUGUGCUCUUGAUUACAUGCG